rnacentral:lncRNA from 1 species
AAGGUAUGACGUUGAGAGAAUCAUGGCUAGCAACACUCUACUUGCUGGAGAAUCCGCCCGGCGAAUCAAGUACAUCCCACCACCUUCUAAUGAGGCCACCACCAUCAACAACACUAACAAUGUAGCAGAAUCAACUGUGCUCUCAUCUUCUCACCAUAAUGAACCGUCUGAUUGGAAGAUGGUGCUUUACCACCACCAAUAUCAGAACCAGUCAUCUGAUCACUAUAAUCAGCAGGA